UAAGCACUACAAUCAAAGUCGGUAUGAUCACAGCAUCUGAUUUAAAGAUUUAGUAUGCAUAAACACGUACUAAAAAGACUGAGAUCUAGAGAUUAGCCGGAUGAUCCUUCCAGAACACGAUAAUCUGAGGAACCAGGUUUAUCGAAAUUAUAGAGUUAAAAGUCCAUUAACAGAAUAUCCGUCAGUCGAGCAUUUCUAUGAUGACCAUGAAACCUCCACUGAAAGGAUGGUCGUGAAAUAUGCUGCAGUGCAGUGCCAGAUCUAGUGUGCCGCUCCAGUGAUUAGGUUUCACGCAGAGCAACGAUUCAGAAGGCACGUGACUAAAAACAGAUGACGUUGACGAAGGAAAUCUUCGGGUUAGAUCCCGUCAAGAUAACUUGGUGGUACAUCCCGUAAAUGACCAAUACUGGUUGUGGGUUAUUUGGAUUCAGUUCUAAAGACACUGUAUACGUAUGCCACUUGAGGAGUACUCAAGCAUGACUGAAACAAAAGGAAUUCAUAGGGGACCGCACAAAUUGUAGCGCAUGUGGAUUAAUUCGAUGAUACACGAGGAACCCUAACAAGGUUUAAAUACAGUUUGACCGAUCUAGAAAUAGAUUUUUGUCGGACCGAAUGCAAGGUGUUGCAUGGCUGUCGUCAGCUCGUCCGUGAGGUGUUAAGUUAAGCCUUCCCACGAGCGCAACCCUUACCAUUAGUUGCCCGCGUUUAAAGCCGGGGAGUCUAAUGGGACAGCCGGUCCAAACCGGUAGGAUGGUGGGGACGACGUCAUGUCAUCGGGGUCUGUACCUCGUGGCCUACCCACGUGGUGCAUUCGUCAUUUCAGACCGCAGAUAGUUGGCAGCAAGAUUGGGCUCUCACCUCACCAACUAAGUUAAUGAUUGGAGUCUGCAACUCGACUGCGAGAAAUUUUUCAAAAAUUGUAAUCGCAUAUCAUUUCUAUUAUAAAGUAUAAUCCUCCGGUCCUAGUACACUCCUCCUCUCUAGCCAAGUAGCAUGCCCUUCUUCCCCGGUGACCGUAAAAGGAUCUGCGAAAGGAAAAACCGUCGUCGUGCAAUUGUUCUUCCUUUCAACCUUUACU
rnacentral:rRNA from 1 species